UACGUAGGUGGCGAGCGUUGUCCGGAAUUAUUGGGCGUAAAGGGUGCGUAGGCGGUAGUUUAAGUGGGGCGUGAAAUCCCCGGGCUUAACCCGGGAGCUGCGCUCCAAACUGGACUACUCGAGUGCAGGAGAGGAAAGCGGAAUUCCCAGUGUAGCGGUGAAAUGCGUAGAGAUUGGGAGGAACACCAGUGGCGAAGGCGGCUUUCUGGACUGUAACUGACGCUGAGGCACGAAAGCGUGGGGAGCAAACAGG
rnacentral:rRNA from 1 species